AUGGAAGGAAGGGUUUGAUGAGAGGGCUGAUGUUAUGAUGUUAAAAUUUGGAGUAAAGGCCUGGGAAUUAAGAGCUCUACCACAGUAGGGUGGGGAAAGAGGGGUAUUGUCCCUUAAGGGCUGGAUUCUAGAACUCCUGGUAGAAUUGCUCUCCAGAGACACAAGACUCUGACUAGUCAAUGAAUAUCAGUUGAACUCUUGAGAAGCAGAUAAAAGGCCUCCUUUGGCAAGAUUCGAAUGCUAGGCCAUAAAGGAAAGAACACAUGCUGAAAUAAUAGGUAUCCUCAGAAAUCAGGAAAAUAUCCUCCAAAAUGUUGACAUUGAAAAGAUAGCAAGCAAAGAAGUGAAGGUUUCACAAGAAAAUGAAUAAACUCAAGUCAACUGAAAAUACACAAAGAAACAGAUGACAAGGAUAUAACAAUUUUCUGUAAU